ACCGCAAUAGCUCAGCUGGUAGAGCAUCUGCCUGGUAUGCGGAGGGUCGCCGGUUCGAUUCCGGCUCUCGGCG
rnacentral:tRNA from 1 species